UCCUACGGGAGGCAGCAGUGGGGAAUCUUGCACAAUGGGCGCAAGCCUGAUGCAGCCAUGCCGCGUGAGGGAAGAAGGCCUUCGGGUUGUAAACCUCUUUUGUCAGGGAAGAACAGGUUCGGGCUAAUCCCUCGACUCAUGACGGUACC
rnacentral:rRNA from 1 species